rnacentral:misc_RNA from 1 species
CGUUAGGCCUGUAGCGGGUGUGUAUCCCCACCCAGUUGUCAGUAUUUCGGUGUUCGAACUUCAGCAGUCAAGAUGAGCGCCGUCCAGCAGGGAACGUUGCUAGAAGUGCUCAAGAAAAAAAUGCGGGCCAUGAAAGAUGAACUGGAAACCGCGAAAGAACAAGCAGAGGACGCGCAAUCACGGGUGAUGGAAGAAAUCCGGCGUCGUGAAGAAGCUGAGGCUGAGGUUGCUGCCCACAACCGACGCAUCCAGCUGCUGGAGGAGGACCUGGAACGCUCUGAGGAACGACUCAAGAUUGCCACCCAGAAACUGGAAGAGGCCUCCCAGGCGGCUGACGAAAGCGAACGCAUCCGCAAGGCACUGGAGAACCGCACCAACAUGGAAGAUGACCGGAUCACACUGCUUGAGAACCAGCUGGGCCAGGCACGCCUCAUAGCUGAGGAGUCUGACAAAAAAUAUGAAGAGAUGGCACGCCGCAUCGCCCUUUUGGAGGCUGACCUGGAAAGGGCCGAGGAGAGGGCCUCCACGGGCGAGAGCAAAAUUGUGGAACUUGAGGAGGAGCUGCGUGUCGUCGGCAACAACCUGAAGUCCCUGGAAGUGAGCGAAGAGAAGGCCCUGCAAAAGGAGGAGACGUACGAGAUGCAAAUCCGGCAGAUGACCAAUAGGCUGCAAGAGGCCGAGGCCCGGGCUGAGUUCGCCGAGAGGUCAGUGCAGAAGCUUCAGAAGGAAGUGGACAGACUGGAAGACGAGCUGCUUGUGGAGCGUGAGAAGAACCACAUGCUCCAGGAAGAGGUGGAGACCACCCUGAAGGACCUGCAGUCCAUGUGACCGGGCUCUCCGGCGCCCCGCUCUGCCUGCCACUGCUUUCUUCCCCCCUCUGUACAGACGAGCUUGUCCAGGAGAAGGAGAAGUACAAGGCCAUCUCGGACGAGCUGGAUCAGACCUUCUCCGAACUCACUGGCUACUAAGCUCCACGCAAAGGGACUGGCGCCACCGUUGUUUCUACCGCUGCUCUGCCAACGUUUCACUCUCACUUCGUCGUUGUCGUUGGGGGGUUAGGCUAGGACAGCAGGGGGACACAAAAAGAAUGCCUUUUAUCCAAUCAGAGAUCGGG